rnacentral:rRNA from 1 species
GACGAACGCUGGCGGCGUGCUUAACACAUGCAAGUCGAACGGAAAGGCCCUGCUUUUGUGGGGUGCUCGAGUGGCGCACGGGUGAGUAACACGUGAGUAACCUGCCCUUGACUUUGGGAUAACUUCAGGAAACUGGGGCUAAUACAGGAUAGGAGCUCCUGCUGCAUGGUGGGGGUUGGAAAGUUUCGGCGGUUGGGGAUGUACUCGCGGCUUAUCAGCUUGUUGGUGGGGUAGUGGCUUACCAAGGCUUUGACGGGUAGCCGGCCUGAGAGGGUGACCGGCCACAUUGGGACUGAGAUACGGCCCAGACUCCUACGGGAGGCAGCAGUGGGGAAUAUUGCACAAUGGGCGGAAGCCUGAUGCAGCAACGCCGCGUGCGGGAUGACGGCCUUCGGGUUGUAAACCGCUUUCGCCUGUGACGAAGCGUGAGUGACGGUAAUGGGUAAAGAAGCACCGGCUAACUACGUG